GAGUGGGAAUCAGAUUCACGUGUUUGGGGAAGCUGCCGGUCACAAAGGGACAGAUGGUCCUAAUCGAGUGGGGGCCCACAAGAGGCCCAAAAGAUACCAUCCUACAAAAAAGAAAUCUGCCCAUUAUUUUAGUGUUGUCCUUGUUAGGGACUGAUCACUAAAUGCUACCUUUGGCGUUUGUACCUACCCUACGUGGGGUCCUUCCCAAGGUCUCUGUCUCCCAACUGCAUCAAAUCAACAAACACCAAUUUUGUUUUUCCUUUCUUUCUUUCCCUUUCAACCACUUCACAAUGCAUUGCACAACAUACAUGGAACAACCUCAC
rnacentral:lncRNA from 1 species